GAAAAGUUUAUGUUUCGUCUGUACAGACGACGUUUAUCCGGCGCCGAGGAGAAGUGACGAGAAAAAACCUCGUCGUCAAAUGAAUAAAAAAAAAAAAAAAAAACAUACGUUUCCUCUACGCGAUUAGUAACAAUCCAUCGUAGUACGUACAAGCGUGUGAUAUUUCGAAACUCGUUUUUUUUUUUCCAAAUAAAUUUCAGACCCGUAACGAAAAUACCGGCGACGACGAGCUACCGCGACGGUUUCGUAGAUGGAUAUUGUUCGCCUUAGAUUAAAAUAUAACAUACCGUCGUCUACUAACCCGUCCGCGGGGCAAAGUGCGGUUACGUUUACGUUGAAUAAUGAUAAUAGCAUUUAAAAUGAUUAAUGUUUUGUACAACAAUACCGUCACUCGAAUCGAUCUCGCGAUCAAUACGAGAGCGCUCCUGUUGGGUUAGUUUGGACACGCUACUGUCCGGCAACUGGUCCGGUUCCAUUUAACAGUUUUUAAGUACAUCUCGCAGAACCCUCAAGAUUGUCCCACGGACCCUUAGGUUCCGCGGAACACACUUUGGGAAUCGCUGCCCUAAAUCAUAGUCUUCGACGGGCGCAAUAUCAAACGACGUACUACGCCGCGCUCAAUUCCAAGCCUUGAAUCACAAUUGUUCGGGUCUACUCCGGUGCCAAUUAGACAGUAAACAAUCAGAGAUCUCUGUAUCAGGGAAACUACUAAUAAGUUGAGAAAACGACAAGAACCCAGCGGGUUCAAUUUUUAAUCCGAUAAAAUAUGCUGCCCGCGAAUUAAUUUUAACUCGGAUUUCAACUGGGAAAAAAUAAUAAUAAUAACGUUAUUAAAUUAACACACGUAUCUCGUUUCGUUAAAACAAAAUUUAUGCGACGUCAUAGAACUUGUCCGCAACACUGCGUUAUUUAUGAUGAGCAAAACAUGCACACGAAGAACUUAACGAUACAGUUUAUCACGCAUUUGCCGUGAUGGUGUGUGCUUUUCUUUGCUUACAUCAUUCGAACGGUGCGCAUUGUAAGUGCAGCAUUAGGUCGGUUUUUUCGGUCAAAAACCCAUAAAUUGUCGAUCAAUACCGAUCGACCUCCGAGUUAAGCCAUAAAACUUUAGACAACCGUUAUAAAUUCUAUAUUACGUCUGCUCGAAAUCGAUCGGUCCGAUAAUUCUCCGAAUUUCGAUUCCUAAGUCCUGUACAUUUGGUUAUUAAAUGUAAAAGAAAUAUUAUGCGUCAAUUUUUCGAAAUCAAAAUCAAAAAUCUUAAAUUAUGCCCAAUUGAUCUCAAGUGAACAGAAUAACGGAU